CGACAUUCGGAUACCCACUGGUGAAUCGGCCUUAGGUGAUCCAAAACUGGCCAAAAAGCUCCUGGAGCUCGCAAUCCUUCCGGUAGACUGGGAGAAUAGGAGUUAGACCGUGUCUGAUCUGUCCUUGUCGUUUUACCCGAUAAUCCCCAGUGCAAGUCGGUAUUCCAUUUUUCGCUUGCUUUUCUACUUGCUUUUUCUAAUUGUUCUCUUCUUCUUUUCAGCUGGUGCACGAUAUGUCGGCAUUGGAGAGAGGAUAUUGGGAAAUCAUAGAUCUCCGUCAGACAUGGGCCGAAAAAAUUACGGCUGCAAACGUCGACAAAGCUGUUGUCAUAAAAUGCCUUCAAGCGGCAACUGAGCGGGAGAAGUAUCAAGAAGAGAUUUCUCGUGUGAAAGCCGAGUUGGAGUCGGCGCAAGCUGAAUUGGAGUUAGCUCAACAGUCUGUC
rnacentral:lncRNA from 1 species